GAUGAACGCUGGCGGCGUGCCUAAUACAUGCAAGUCGAGCGAAAAGACGCGGAGCUUGCUCCGCGCACGUUAGCGGCGGACGGGUGAGUAACACGUGGAUAACCUCCCUAUAAGACUGGGAUAACUUCGGGAAUCCGGCGCUAAUCCCGGAUGAUAUACUGAAGCGCAUGGUGGAAUAGUGAAAGACGGUUUUUGUGUCAGUUAUAGAUGGAUCCGCGCCGCAUUAGCUAGUUGGUAAGGUAACGGCUUACCAAGGGAACGAUGCGUAGCCGACCUGAGAGGGUGAUCGGCCACACGAGAACUGGGACACCGUCCAGACUACUACGGGAGGCAGCAGUAGCGAAUCUUACGCAAUAGUCGAAAGCCUGACGGAGCAACGCGGCGUGAGUGAUGACGGUCUUGCGAUCGUAAAACUCUGUUAUGAGGGAAGAACAAAUGUGUAAGUAACUAUGCACGUCUUGACGGUACCUAAUCAGAAAGCCACGGCUAACUACGUG
rnacentral:rRNA from 1 species